AGAGUUUGAUCAUGGCUCAGAAUCAACGCUGGCGGCAUGCCUAACACAUGCAAGUCGAGCGAGAAAGGGUAGCAAUACCUGAGUAAAGCGGCGCACGGGUGAGUAACACGUGGAUAACCUGCCUCAAAGUGGGGAAUAACACCGGGAAACCGGUGCUAAUACCGCAUAUUCUGAUGAGAUCUGCGGAUUUUGUCAGGAAAGGAGCAAUUCGCUAUGAGAGGGGUCCGCGGCUGAUUAGCUAGUUGGUGAGGUAAUGGCUCACCAAGGCUUCGAUCAGUAGCCGGUCUGAGAGGACGGUCGGCCACACUGGAACUGAGACACGGUCCAGACUCCUACGGGAGGCAGCAGUGGGGAAUUUUUCGCAAUGGGGGCAACCCUGACGAAGCAAUGCCGCGUGGAUGAUGAAGUAUCUCGGUACGUAAAAUCCUUUCGACGGGGACGAAACCGUAAGGUUGACGGUACCCGUAGAAGAAGCCCCGGCUAACUCCGUGCCAGCAGCCGCGGUAAUACGGGGGGGGCGAGCGUUGUUCGGAAUUACUGGGCGUAAAGGGUGCGUAGGCGGCUUUCUAAGUCGGAUGUGAAAACUCUGGGCUCAACCCAGAGCCUGCAUCCGAAACUGGAGAGCUAGGGUUCUGGAGGGGAAAGCGGAAUUCCUGGUGUAGCGGUGAAAUGCGUAGAUAUCAGGAGGAACACCGGUGGCGAAGGCGGCUUUCUGGACAGAUACCGACGCUGAGGCACGAAAGCUAGGGGAGCAAACAGGAUUAGAUACCCUAGUAGUCC
rnacentral:rRNA from 1 species